rnacentral:rRNA from 1 species
UACGUAGGGGGCAAGCGUUGUCCGGAAUCAUUGGGCGUAAAGGGUGCGUAGGCGGCGCGGUAAGUCGGGUGUGAAAUCUCGGAGCUUAACUCCGAAACUGCAUUCGAUACUACCGUGCUUGAGGACUGGAGAGGAGACUGGAAUUUACGGUGUAGCGGUGAAAUGCGUAGAUAUCGUAAGGAAGACCAGUGGCGAAGGCGGGUCUCUGGACAGUUCCUGACGCUGAGGCACGAAGGCCAGGGGAGCAAACGGG